rnacentral:rRNA from 1 species
UACGUAGGGUGCAAGCGUUGUCCGGAAUUAUUGGGCGUAAAGAGCUCGUAGGCGGUUUGUCGCGUCGAAUGUGAAAACCCGGGGCUCAACCCCGGGCCUGCAUUCGAUACGGGCAGACUAGAGUUCGGUAGGGGAGUCUGGAAUUCCUGGUGUAGCGGUGAAAUGCGCAGAUAUCGGGAGGAACACCAGUAGCGAAGGCGGCACUCUGGGCCGGUACUGACGCUGAGGCGCGAAAGCGUGGGGAGCAAACAGG